GGUGGCCAGACCCAGAGGAAUGGAUCCCAAAGGAGCUAUUUGAACCACAAACAUGUUUGAAAUAUAACAGUUACUUAAACAGUGUUGAAAAAGGAAAUCAACCUUUUAAAAUGUCUUCCAAUAGUUGGUAAAUUAACAGUUCUGGUAUAUCUGGGAGCAUUGGGACAUGGAACUGUAACACCUUAUAGUGGGUUGACCUGAAUUACAUCCGUAAACUAUU